rnacentral:lncRNA from 1 species
AACCCUAUUUUAUAUAAUCGGAAGUUUGUGUGUUGUGCCCGCCAUCGGUUGAGACACAACAUGCUCUUGAAUACAGGGUUUUUACAUCAAAAGGAGGGAUGCUGUCAAAAAGUGAUUGAAUUCAUAUGGAUUUACCUCUUUCUCGCUCCUUAUCUCUCUUUUAUUAGUGUGAAGAUGGUGCUGCUGUGGACUGCUGGAGACAUCUUCAAGACUGCAUACUUUGUGAUGAACGACAGCCCGUUUCAGUUCUGUGUGUGUGGGGCAGUCCAGAUCCUUAUCGACGUAGCCAUCCUGCUGCAGGAGGGAACCUGAUGCCAGGAAAGAGUGAAAUGAAAGUGAUCCUAGGUGUGUGUUCAGGGGACCAG